rnacentral:lncRNA from 1 species
UGUGGCGAGGCAUCUGCCACUACUUCCCUUUGUUUGGAAACAUGCUGCCAGUCCUAACUCGGUGAUUUCUCCAGC